rnacentral:rRNA from 1 species
UUUUCGGAUCGUAAAGCUCUGUCGGGUGGAAAGAAAGGCAUGGAGGUUAAUACCUUCCAUGUUUGACGGUACCACCAAAGGAAGCACCGGCUAACUCCGUGC